AAAAAAAAGAAACUCACGUGUAUGAAGCCAAAUUAAUAAAUUCAAGGGUAUAGUAACAGAAGCACCUGGAGAAGCUCAGGCUUAACUGCCAACUAUUAACCACAGAUCGACUGUUUUCAAAAUGUUUCACAGAGCCCUAGAUUUGAAAAAAGAUGCUUCUGUGGUUCCAGGCAAGAUGGCUGACUAGGAACAGCUCCGGUCUGCAGCUCCCAGCGAGACCAACACAGAAGGCAGGCCGUCAUCCUUAAGCCAUAAAAUGCCCUGUAGAGGUGGAACAGGUCAGAAGACUGAAUGCUCAAGCUGCAUGUGGAGUUAACAUGGCAAUAACACAGAAUGUGAUGACAGCAGACUCUAGAAUCUCAUGACAUCAGUUUAUAUUAGAACUGUUCUGUAGCUCACCUUUCUCCGAAGUUGGAAUUCACAUGGCUGUGGAAUGUGUUUCUACCUUCACUGUUGGAGGAGUCAUCCAACAAAUCCAGGGGUGGGAAAACAGCUGGAUAAGGACAAUAACAUAUAUGACAGCUGUACAAUCCUUUACCUUGGACCAUCUCUCUCACCUUGGACCAUCUCUCUCACCAGCUGCCUUCCACACCCCUGUACUACUAACUCCUUCUUCUUUCACUUGAACAUUCUUUACCCCAGAUUUUUGCAUCCUUCAGUGAUACGGAAAAGCAAAUGUUAGAGACUUUGGCCUAAAGAUACAUUGAGAAGGGAAAAAAAGUUUAAUAAGUAGCAAAUGUCAUUGCCACCACAAAGGAAACAAGCAUCGUUCACCUUGGCAGUAAAGUAUGCCAUCUGACUGCUUGGGCCAUUUGCACAGAUUACGGGGAUAUGCUGUGGCACUAUUUAUCACUCCUCAGAACAACUGAUACUCACCUAAAUGCAAGGUUAAUAGAGUUAUUAGAAAAGAAACACUGUCCUUUCUUAUCUAAACCAAUUUGGGCUAUUGUCCCCAUAACAGGUAUACGUGUAUGUGUAUACUUACCUAUGACAUGAAACACCCCCUCAAAUACUUUUAUUUACUGUGCAAUUUCCUGAUCCUAAAUACUACUACCGCCUCUAGCCUUUGCUCCCUUCCUAACACCCUACUGCAGGAAACCCUUGAACAAAUUCCUUUUAAGAGACCCAAAGCUCUCUAACGUUCACCAUACAAUGGUCGGAUUUGUAAUUUGAUUUUAGUUUACAUACAAACUAAUAAAGUAAUCUCUUACUGUAUCAUGGAUGCUGGCAGAAGACAUGAGAUUCGUGGGUUAGAGACAGAAGACUUAUGUUACUUACAGCAUAGCAAAGCAGCAUAAUCACCAGGACAUUUACAUCAGUUCUCCUUUGUCCCACAUUGCCACAGGGGCAAUGCAGAGGGCCCAAGGACACUUGCCUUCACAGUGGAUUGUGUUACAGGAAAGAACGCUGAGCUUAGAUGAUCUACCACUUCUAUAGCAAGUAGUAAGCAAAUCUGCUAAACCUGCUCUUGGUCCUGAAGGGAAACAGUAACUCAUUCUUCAAGGUUGCUCACCAGAACCCUGAAAAAUGGCCCACAUAAAGAAUGAUCAGGGCCUUACAUGUAUGGCUCAUGUAGCAAGAUGUCUGGGAGCACAAGAAGCCCAAGGAGGACUGUCUGUCUCUGUAGCAAUCUAUUACAUUUUCCCUCUCUUGUGAGACUACUGUCUUUUGUUCCUAAGCCGCACUAAGGUCUGAUUGUCAUUUUCCAAAAGGAUCUCUUUUGCACAUUGCAAGAACAUAAUACGUAAUGCUUAUAAAGUUUCUAUAAAAAAUUUUUCUUUGAAAAAUUGGGCCAGCUUGUUGUUUAACACUCCCACCAAUGGCCUCUAAAAGAAGCAUCUGCUCACUGAGCUACCCCAAAGGAAAUAAUUAUUUGUAACUAAAUCUCAACACUGUCAAUCACUGCUGCUCAGUCGAGGUAAUAAAGAGGUCAGAUCACUCCCCCGACCUUAUUCAAGCAAAUCUAUGAUUAUGCAGACACAAAAAACGGUGUUUAGGUGUGUGCGCAUUUGGGGGAUGAGGAAGAAGAUCCAGAUCUGCUCAGACAUCAGAAAAGAAAUCUCAUACCAGUACAGGAAAUAUCUAGAAGCUGAUUAAUAUCGUUCUAGGUGAAGAACUUACCUAACCCUCUAAAUGUCUGCAAAUUGCCUCCUUUUGGCUUUUUAAGAGAACCAAAAUUAGACUUAGCCCAAAAGCAAAUAGUAACCCCUUAUAAUGACAAGCAUCUAAAACAUGUUCGUCCUUCAAUUCAUUCCCAAUUCUCUUUAUUAUCAAUUCCAUGACCCCAGGUACCUUCUGCUUUUAUCAUGCCCUAUGGCCACCCAACCCUCCUCCUUUUCUGCAACAGCCACUCUAUUCUCACCUAGGUCAGUAUUCCAUCAUUAUACUCACUGUGCCCAAUGAACCUUUUGUUUAUCUGUAACCAUAAUUACCACUCAUUACAACAAAAAUUUCAUCAUGAUUGCUCAUGUGGAUGUUAGAAAAUCUUCUAGAACAAAGCUUCUCAAAUGUUAGGGUGUAUAAGAGUCACCCACAGAGCUUCUUAAAAUGCAGAUUCCUGAGCACUGCUCCCAGACAUUCUGAUUCGCUAGGUCCGGGGUAUGUCCUAAGAACAUGCAUUUCCCACACUCUCACAGGCAAGACUGGAUGCUGAUGUUGCUGGUCCACAGACCACAAUUUGAGUAGCUGUGUUCCAGAACAUACGGGUCAUGACGACCCCCAGAGUCAAGGCAGAAGCGUCUUCUGAGGUACCUCACAGCAGCUGCCUAUCUAAGCUGGAGUCUAGAAAAGACAGUGAACAAUACUAGGACUGAAUGUCCCCCUCCUGGUACCUAGAUGACAAGUCUCUUCAGAGAAUCUACAUUACACACGGGGAGAAGUAGGGGGCACAAGGGGAGAACCCUGACUGGGACUGAAUCCUUAACACAAAGAACAUGCCCCAAACUAAAAAUUGACUGAGUUAACUUGAAUUGACAAAUUUAAGUUUUUCUACAUUAUUCAAAACAAAUAUCGUGAAGUACUCUGAAUUCAGCUAUUGAAAAAUGCACAUCUUUAGCUGAUCUGAGUGUAGUAUCAUUCUUCAAUAAUAAUACAAACUAUUCAAUUCAUUACAUUAAUUUAGUUGUUUUUAUAGUUUAUCAAAUGUGCCUGAUUGUGGACAGUAACAGCAACAUUCAUUUUUAAAUUAGCACCAGGAUAACUGUUGUAUUUCCUUUCAUUACAACAUUAAACUCUCCACAUAAGUUCCCUGUUUGUAGUUUGUUACUCAGAUGACACAGCUGUCUGCAUGUGACUUGCGAGGCAGAAAAAGUAUGGCUUUUUUAAUGAAUUUAGCACAAAUGUUGGUUAUUUUAUACAUAUUAAAUUUCUAUUUUAUAGAAAUUCUACUUUCAGAAUUUUCUCAUCCAUAUAUUAUUUUGAGAGAAAGAAGUUUAUUAAAAUUAAUUCACUGAAUAACUCAGAAACAGAAAGUCAAAUACUACAUAUUCUCAUUCAUAAGUAGGAACUAAAUAAUGUGUACACAUGGACAUUGAGCAUGCAAUAAUAGACAGUGGAGACUUCUCAGGAGGGUGGGAGGAGGUGAGGGAUGAGAAACUACCUAACAGGUACAAUGUACACUAUUUGGGUGAUAGUUACAUUAAAAGCUCAUACUUUGCAAAGUAACCAUGUAACAGAACUGCAUUUUUACCCUCUAAAUCUACAAAAAUCAAAAUUAAAAAAAUAAUUUCAAAAAAUAAAAUAAAUUCACUAGACAGCAGUUACUAAAGGCAUUCUAGUCAAGAAUAUAGAACAGGACACAGUCCAGGGUUUGAAAUGAUGCAAAAACAAGCUGGAUGUAGUUUUGAAACAAUGAAAACUAUAAGUAUAUAUUCUAGGUCAACAAGUACAUAUGCAUUCUAGCAACACUAGAUAAUUUGCUUUCUUCUCUAUACUCUCCACAUCCUCAGCCUUUUGCCUCUCUAUGAAGCUCACCCUAAAAAUCCCCAAAUCUGGAUCAAUUCAAUCACCAGGGUUCUUACUCUCAUAUAUGAAAUGGCAAUAACUAUUGAAAAAAAGAAUCAUCCAACAGUGAAGACUGGUAGUAUAUAGUCUUGAAUCUCAAAUGGGGCAACCACCUCCUGAGUAAUCCUUAUUCAUGUUUCUAGUUAAUUCCCUCUUCUACUCUCCACACCUGCUCUUCCAAACUUUCUUCCUUCACAUGUUCAUUCAUCAUUAAUGCAAAUACUUCAUGAUAAUGUAUCAUGUGCUAAACGAUAAAGUGUGCAAAGCACUGGGAACACCACAGUAAACACAUUAGUGCAGAUUCUUAAGGAGGUCAAAGUCCUAAGACACGUAAAUUGAUAGAGGAGAGGAGAGGGGUAGCAUAGGGAAGAGAAAAAUAAAGCAUCUUACCCUUCUUCCUCAAAUGUGUCAGUGUCCAUUCACCUCCACCCUAAAAGAUGGCCUACAGUCCACCCUCCCUGAAAAAAACUAAAGUUAUAAGGCAGGAACUCUUUCAACUUCCAACCCCCUACACCUCCAACCCCUACACCCACAAAGGUAUCUACUUUCUAUUUCAUAGAGUCAGAAACACCAUCAAUUGUAAGAAAGAAAAAAUUGUUGCCAAUAAAAUUAUGAUUCAGUUCUAUAACGCUAUUAAUUGAUGGUAAGAUACGAUUUGAUUUUUGAGACUUAAAAUGUUAAAAAUGUUCAUCUUAGAAUUAACGAAAUAUAGUAUGUUGAACCCACCUGUGCCUUCUUAGUUACGUUAGGCUUAAAAAGGUAUUCAAAUGGAAUUGAGGUGAGUUUUAUACAUGAGUAUUCACCUUGAGAGGUCAAGUCUGAAUUCAGCAGGUAUUUCAUAUGCACCUUCACCUUACUUCCCCUAGGAUACUGUUGUAGAGCAUUCUGACACCGUGUACUUUCUUAAGUGGGGAUGAGUAAGGCGAGAGGCAGUGCAGCAGAGUGGUAAAGUGUAUAGACUCUGUCC
rnacentral:lncRNA from 10 species